UACGUAGGGUGCGAGCGUUGUCCGGAAUUAUUGGGCGUAAAGAGCUUGUAGGCGGUUUGUCGCGUCUGCCGUGAAAAUCCGGGGCUCAACCCCGGACUUGCGGUGGGUACGGGCAGACUAGAGUGUGGUAGGGGAGACUGGAAUUCCUGGUGUAGCGGUGAAAUGCGCAGAUAUCAGGAGGAACACCGGUGGCGAAGGCGGCAUCCUGGACCGACAUUGACGCUGAGGAGCGAAAGCCAGGGGAGCAAACGGG
rnacentral:rRNA from 1 species